rnacentral:rRNA from 1 species
GAAUACUGCAGAGCUAGGGGGUGGGAGAGGUAGACGGUACUCGGGAGGAAGUGGUAAAAUGCUUUGAUCUCUCGAUGACCACCUGUGGCGAAGGCGGUCUACCAGAACACGUCCGACGGUGAGGGAUGAAAGCUGGGGGAGCAAACCGGAUUAGAUACCCGGGUAGUCCCAGCUGUAAACUAUGCAAACUCAGUGAUGCACUGGCUUGUGGCCAGUGCAGUGUUGCAGGGAAGCCGUUAAGUUUGCCGCCUGGGAAGUACGUACGCAAGUAUGAAACUUAAAGGAAUUGGCGGGGGAGCACCACAAGGGGUGAAGCCUGCGGUUCAAUUGGAGUCAACGCCAGAAAUCUUACCCGGAGAGACAGCAGAAUGAAGGUCAAGCUGAAGACUUUACCAGACAAGCUGAGAGGUGGUGCAUGGCCGUCGCCAGCUCGUGCCGUGAGAUGUCCUGUUAAGUCAGGUAACGAGCGAGAUCCCUGCCUCUAGUUGCCACCAUUACUCUCAGGAGUAGUGGGGCGAAUUAGCGGGACCGCCGCAGUUAAUGCGGAGGAAGGAAGGGGCCACGGCAGGUCAGUAUGCCCCGAAACUCUGGGGCCACACGCGGGCUGCAAUGGUAACGACAAUGUGUUCCGAAUCCGAAAGGAAGAGGUAAUCCUCAAACGUUACCACAGUUAUGACUGAGGGCUGCAACUCGCCCUCACGAAUAUGGAAUCCCUAGUAACUGCGUGUCAUUAUCGCGCGGUGAAUACGUCCCUGCUCCUUGCACACACCGCCCG